rnacentral:tRNA from 1 species
CGUCACCGUCGGCGCGCGGCCCGGCGCCGGUGGAUCCGGUCCACCGGGCGGUGGAUCCGGUCCACCGGGCGGUGGCC